ensembl:lncRNA
UAGGGUUAUGGGUUAGGAGUUAGGAGUUACAACUAGGGUUAUGGGUUAGGAGUUAGGAGUUACAAUUAGGGUUAUGGGUUAGGAGUUACAACUAGGGUUAUGGGUUAGGAGUUAGGAGUUACAAUUAGGGUUAUGGGUUAGGAGUUAGGAGUUACAAUUAGGGUUAUGGGUUAGGAGUUACAACUAGGGUUAUGGGUUAGGAGUUAGGAGUUACAAUUAGGGUUAUGGGUUAGGAGUUAGGAGUUAGGAGUUACAACUAGGGUUAUGGGUUAGGAGUUACAACUAGGGUUAUGGGUUAGGAGUUAGGAGUUAGG